GUUCUUGAUUCAGCUGCACUUAUACUACAAUUGGAACAAUACAGAGAAGAUUAGCAUGGCCCCUGUGCAAGGGUGACACACAAAUUCGUGAAUCCUUCUGUAUUUUU
rnacentral:snRNA from 1 species